CUAACAAACUUAUAUCGAAUGAACAUAGGGAAUAUCCCCGAGGAGUUUAAUCACUUAUUUCCGACUCCCCCACAGGUAGACAAAAUUAAUUUGGUAGUCUGGGAAUCACUUAUUUUAAAGGGAAUGCUGCGUAUCAAGGCUAAAAGAAGUAGACAAAAGAGUACUUGUUUACGGGAAAUAUUUGAUAGUCUGUUUAAAGUUAGAUUGGAACCAUUAUGGGAUAUGUUUGUCUGGUGAUAGAACGAAACUAAACUAGCAGGAUAUUUAAUGGUCUUUCAAUGGGACCAAGAGGGGAAGUUGAAGAUUCUUAGCCACAUGCCUGGGAUAAUGUCACUGAAGUCCAGAACAUAUGUAGAUUAUGUUGCAAUCUAAAGUCAUUUUUCUUUGGUGAAAUUUUGAAUUGUCCCCUCUGUCCUUUUGCUUUUUAUUGUUGCUCUGACUGUUACAUAUUCAGGAAAAGAAAAACAGAGUAUUUAGAAUUGUUCAAACCUUACCAUAAACAUUUAAAAUUGAAAGAGCAGACAUGAGAUGAUCUUUCUUCAAAGAGUUUCCUUUAUAAUCAUUAUCAUUUGAGGAUUCUAUAAUUGUUGAUUGGUAGUUUGAUUAUUUCCUUUUUUUUUUUUUUUUUUUUUUUUUAAGCAGGCACAAGAUUUAGGAAACACUCCUUCACCAAUUGGACCAAGAAGUUCCUCAUCAUAUAGAUGUAACAACGGAGAUAGAGCGAGUGGCAAUUCGUAAUCAUCAUUAGGAUCAAAACUAUAUUUUUUGGGUAUUGUUGAUGAAUAACUUUGAAACUCUAGCUUGAAUUUGGAUGUAAUUUUGGGAUACUUUUGUUUUAGUUAUUGAAUAUUUUGCUCAUUUAAACCUUUCAAGUGUUAAAAUUA